rnacentral:lncRNA from 1 species
CUCUUUGGUUCCCCCUGUGGCUGCUGCGGGGCUGCGGGGCUGCGGGGCUGCGGGGCUGCGGGGCUGCGGGGCUGCGGGGCUGCGGGGCUGCGGGGCUGCGGGGCUGCCGGGCUGCGGGCGGUGGGAGAUGACGGGGGUGGGAGCAGGAGCGGGAGCAGGGGCGGGAGCGGGAGCGGGAGUGGGAGUGCUCAGUCUCUCGGGUCGCCUGGAUAUUUAUGAAAAGGACGCCAGGGAAAGGGCUCCGCUGUAGACCGAAGGGAUAAGGGUUCGAUUCAGAAGGGAGCGUUAUUUUUAUCCCCUCUCCACAUAAUGGAACGUUUAAAUGGUUAAAUCAAGUACCUUGCAGGAGAGGGUGGGGUGGCCUUGAGAAUACACUCAAGGCCUCAGUACAUGCAGUCUGGAAGUGGGGGAAUCAAGAGCACCCUGUCUCUAGUACUGUCCUCAAUGAUAAGGCGCUGAGGUUCCCAACCUGGACCAAGAAGUACAUAUUCAGGUUCAAAGGAUAAACCAAAACAAAACCUGAGCUCUCUCUCUAGAAUGAAGUGCCUGGUCCCAGUUCACCAUCUAAUAUUUAUGGAAAGCUUAUCAGAGAACAGAAGUGUCAGCAGAGGACUGUAAGUGCUAUGUGAUUGGACGACGGUGGCCAUAGAAUUUCACCUGCCCAGCACGUAUUCUCUCAUCCUCUCCUCCUCUGCCUUCUUUGGGAGGGAGAAAUCAGAAGGAGUGGGGAUGCAGUUCAGAGAGCAGAGGAGAAGAGAAGAAAAGAAGGAAGAAGGAAGAGGACUAGGGUUGGGUGGGGGGGGAGGACACCAAUGGGAAGAGGGACAGAUCAACUCUAUACACAAAAGUAAAUCAAAACACCAAAAACAGGGGUCUAUGUAAAGAAGCCUCUUCCCGUGAAUUGCUCGUUGCAUAGCUGCAGGGAGGGUGUUUAGGGGCAUAGAGAAUGAAAAC